GGGAGCGGCUCUGGACAAUGAUGAGAAGGAAUCAGGCGGCUCGGGGCCACCUUGGCCCUGAUGGGAGCGGCUCUGGACAAUGAUGAGAAGGAAUCAGGCGGCUCGGGGCCACCUUGGCCCUGAUGGGAGCGGCUCUGGACAAUGAUGAGAAGGAAUCAGGCGGCUCGGGGCCACCUUGGCCCUGAUGGGAGCGGCUCUGGACAGUGAUGAGAAGGAAUCAGGCGGCUCGGGGCCACUGUGGCCCUGGUGAGAGCAGCUCUGGACAGUGAUGAGAAAGAAUCAGGCCUCCAGUUUAGGGACUCUGUUCCUGGUGAUCCCUGGGCUAAAGGACUAAUCAGGGGAAUCUCAGUAUUUUCCCUGACACGUAAGUCACUGAGGAGGGCGGUGGCACGGUCACAGCAGUGCAAUGUGCCUCCCUGUCACCUGAGAGGUCACCCAGGGCCUCACCUGCCUGCUUCUCCAAGGCCUCCCUCCCUGGCCAGCCCCAAAGGAAGAGGAAGAAUCACAAAGAGCCUGGGGCUGGCUGGAAUUUUCUCCCGUGCAGUCGUCCAGCCUCCCGUGGCAGGGAGCGGCAUCUCAGUGUGCGAAGCCCUUUGUAUACUUCCCUGGAAUGUGGCUUUUAUUUUGUAACAAAGCAAAUGUUUUACUGCUGGUUUUCCUUUAACAAAUAAAUAUUGGCUCCAACACAUGUCAGAGAAAGUCGACAACAAUAAACCCAAGUGU
rnacentral:lncRNA from 1 species